UAAGUAGGCGGUGGAAAAUGAACCAAAUGGGAUUCCUUAAGUAAUUGCGAAUGAACAAGGAAAUGCUCAGCUUGAAAAAUGGGGCCUUCGGCUUUGAAUUGUAAUUUUGAAAUGUAUUGCCAAUGGAGGCGCAGGUGCAAGCCUAUUGAAAGAAAGCGUCAAUGAGGGUGAGAUUCCUUUUUGUCAUUUGCAGUCCUCCGUGCACGGUAUAUAUUUGACGAGUCACACUCCUCGGCAUUGGAAUGCAAAGUGGGUGGUAAAUUCCAUGUAAAGGUAAAUAUAUUAUUGAGACUGAUAGCAAACAAGUACCAUGAGGGAAAUAUGAAAAGGACUUUGAAAAGAGAAUUAAAAGAGUCUGCAUUUGCUGAACAGAAAGCAAACAGAAUUGAUCUUGCCUGGUGAGAUUGUUGCGUCUACUUCUGCAUUUCUAUGUUGGAUGUGGGUGCGAUGGUUCUUGCCUUGAAUGUCAGCUUCUUUUUCUGCAAAUCAUUACCCUUGCACAUGAAUGGUAAUUUGCCUGCGGGUAUUGGAAUGCAUGUGUUUGCCAUGAUUUGUGAUUUGAUACAUGUGUCUGGUGGUACUUGUGUGUGUUCCUUUGUCAAAGGGGAAGGUUUGCUUCUUUGAGCACCACAAGCCCUUGCACAAUGUUGCUGGCAAAAUGUUUCUGCUUGACCCG
rnacentral:rRNA from 1 species